rnacentral:rRNA from 1 species
AUUGAACGCUGGCGGCAGGCCUAACACAUGCAAGUCGAGCGGAUGAGGAGAGCUUGCUCUCUGAUUCAGCGGCGGCCGGGUGAGUAAUGCCUAGGAAUCUGCCUGGUAGUGGGGGACAACGUGUCGAAAGGAACGCUAAUACCGCAUACGUCCUACGGGAGAAAGUGAGGGAUCUUCGGACCCCACGCUAUCAGAUGAGCCUAGGUACGAUUAGCUAGUUGGUGAGGUAAAGGCUCACCAAGGCGACGAUCGUUAACUGGUCUGAGAGGAUGAUCAGUCACACUGGAACUGAGACACGGUCCAGACUCCUACGGGAGGCAGAAGUGGGGAAUAUUGGACAAUGGGCGAAAGCCUGAUCCAGCCAUGCCGCGUGUGUGAAGAAGGUCUUCGGAUUGUAAAGCACUUUAAGUUGGGAGGAAGGGCAGUAAGUUAAUACCUUGCUGUUUUGACGUUACCGACAGAAUAAGCACCGGCUAACUUCGUGCCAGCCGCCGCGGUAACAC